rnacentral:rRNA from 1 species
AGAGUUUGAUCCUGGCUCAGGAUGAACGCUAGCGGCAGGCCUAAUACAUGCAAGUCGAACGGUAACAUAAGAGCUUGCUCUUGAUGACGAGUGGCGCACGGGUGCGUAACGCGUAUGCAACCUACCCUUUACUGGAGGAUAGCCCGGAGAAAUUCGGAUUAAUACUCCAUAGUAUCAUAAGACAGCAUUGUUUAAUGAUUAAAGAUUUAUUGGUAAAGGAUGGGCAUGCGUGACAUUAGUUAGUUGGUGAGGUAACGGCUCACCAAGACGAUGAUGUCUAGGGGUUCUGAGAGGAUGAUCCCCCACACUGGUACUGAGACACGGACCAGACUCCUACGGGAGGCAGCAGUAGGGAAUAUUGGUCAAUGGGCGAGAGCCUGAACCAGCCAUGCCGCGUGUAGGAAGACGGCCUUCUGGGUUGUAAACUACUUUUAUAUAGGAACAAAUAGGCCAUGCGUGGCAAGUUGAGUGUACUAUAUGAAUAAGCACCGGCUAACUCCGUGCCAGCAGCCGCGGUAAUACGGAGGGUGCAAGCGUUGUCCGGAUUUAUUGGGUUUAAAGGGUGCGUAGGUGGCGUGUUAAGUCAGUGGUGAAAGCCUGCAGCUCAACUGUAGAGGUGCCAUUGAUACUGACAUGCUUGAGUAUGGACGAGGUAGGCGGAAUUUGUGGUGUAGCGGUGAAAUGCAUAGAUACCACAAAGAACACCGAUAGCGAAGGCAGCUUACUGGACCAUAACUGACACUGAGGCACGAAAGUGUGGGUAGCGAACAGGAUUAGAUACCCUGGUAGUCCACAC